ACAUAGCGAAUCCAGCUUCGUGGGGUCGGGUUGCAGACCCCAGUCCGAACUGAGACAGGCUUUAAGGAUUUGAUCGUACUUACGUACAACCGUCUCUCUGUACCUGCCAUUGUAACACGUGUGUAGCCCCGGACGUAAGGGCCGUGCUGAUUUGACGUCAUCCCCACCUUCCUCACACCUUACGGUGGCAGUGUCCCCAGAGUGCCCAGCUUAACCUGAUGGCAACUAAGGAGAGGGGUUGCGCUCGUUAUGGCACUUAAGCCGACACCUCACGGCACGAGCUGACGACAACCAUGCAGCACCUUCACAGAGGCCCCGAAGGGCGUCAUUGUCUCCAAAUCCUUCCUCUGCAAUUCAAGCCCGGGUAAGGUUCCUCGCGUAUCAUCGAAUUAAACCACAUGUUCCUCCGCUUGUGCGGGCCCCCGUCAAUUCCUUUGAGUUUCACCGUUGCCGGCGUACUCCCCAGGUGGGAUGCUUAAUGCUUUCGCUUGGCCGCUGACCUGUUCAGACCAACAGCGGGCAUCCAUCGUUUACCGUGCGGACUACCAGGGUAUCUAAUCCUGUUCGAUACCCGCACUUUCGAGCUUCAGCGUCAGUUGCGCUCCAGUGAGCUGCCUUCGCAAUCGGAGUUCUUCGUGAUAUCUAAGCAUUUCACCGCUACACCACGAAUUCCGCCCACUUUGUGCGUACUCAA
rnacentral:rRNA from 1 species